rnacentral:rRNA from 1 species
GCAGCCAUGCCGCGUGUGUGAAGAAGGCCUUCGGGUUGUAAAGCACUUUCAGUCGUGAGGAAGGCAUAUGCGUUAAUAGCGUAUGUGUUUGACGUUAGCGACAGAAGAAGCACCGGCUAACUCCGUGCCAGCAGCCGCGGUAAUACGGAGGGUGCGAGCGUUAAUCGGAAUUACUGGGCGUAAAGCGCAUGCAGGCGGCUUGUUAAGCCAGAUGUGAAAGCCCGGGGCUCAACCUCGGAAUAGCAUUUGGAACUGGCAGGCUAGAGUCUUGUAGAGGGGGGUAGAAUUUCAGGUGUAGCGGUGAAAUGCGUAGAGAUCUGAAGGAAUACCGGUGGCGAAGGCGGCCCCCUGGACAAAGACUGACGCUCAGAUGCGAAAGCGUGGGGAGCAAACAGGAUUAGAUACCCUGGUAGUCCACGCCGUAAACGAUGUCUACUUGGAGGUUGGUGYCUUGAACACUGGCUUUCGGAGCUAACGCGUUAAGUAGACCGCCUGGGGAGUACGGUCGCAAGAUUAAAACUCAAAUGAAUUGACGGGGGCCCGCACAAGCGGUGGAGCAUGUGGUWUAAUUSGAUGCAACGCGAAGAACCUUACCUACUCUUGACAUCCAG